rnacentral:Y_RNA from 1 species
AGAUGAUCCAAAGGUAGUUAUCUCAUUUGAUUGUUCACAGUUACAGAUUGAACUCCUUGUUCUACUACUUUUCCCCCUUCUCACUACUGCACUUGACUAGUCUUUAA